rnacentral:rRNA from 1 species
UACGUAGGCACCAAGCGUUGUUCGGAUUUACUGGGCGUAAAGGGCGCGUAGGCGGCCACCGCAAGUCAGUUGUGAAAUCUCUGGGCUUAACCCAGAAAGGUCAACUGAUACUGCGGGGCUAGAGUGCAGAAGGGGCAACUGGAAUUCUCGGUGUAGCGGUGAAAUGCGUAGAUAUCGAGAGGAACACCUGCGGCGAAGGCGGGUUGCUGGGCUGACACUGACGCUGAGGCGCGAAAGCUAGGGGAGCGAACGGG